rnacentral:scRNA from 1 species
UACCGGGCAUCAUCCUCGGAUAUCUCCUGCCC